rnacentral:rRNA from 1 species
CUGGCGGCCGGCGCACGGGUGAGUAACACGUAUCCAACCUGCCGAUAACUCGGGGAUAGCCUUUCGAAAGAAAGAUUAAUACCCGAUGGCAUAAUUAGACCGCAUGGUUUGAUUAUUAAAGAAUUUCGGUUAUCGAUGGGGAUGCGUUCCAUUAGGCAGUUGGUGAGGUAACGGCUCACCAAACCUUCGAUGGAUUGGGGUUCUGAGAGGAAGGUCCCCCACAUUGGAACUGAGACACGGUCCAA